UACUCUUUAGUGAACUUCAGACCU
rnacentral:siRNA from 1 species